AGGAGCACGAAGGUUGGCUAAUCCUGGUCGGACAUCAGGAGGUUAGUGCAAUGGCAUAAGCCAGCUUGACUGCGAGCGUGACGGCGCGAGCAGGUGCGAAAGCAGGUCAUAGUGAUCCGGUGGUUCUGAAUGGAAGGGCCAUCGCUCAACGGAUAAAAGGUACUCCGGGGAUAACAGGCUGAUACCGCCCAAGAGUUCAUAUCGACGGCGGUGUUUGGCACCUCGAUGUCGGCUCAUCACAUCCUGGGGCUGAAGCAGGUCCCAAGGGUAUGGCUGUUCGCCAUUUAAAGUGGUACGCGAGCUGGGUUUAGAACGUCGUGAGACAGUUCGGUCCCUAUCUGCCGUGGGCGCUGGAGAACUGAGGGGGGCUGCUCCUAGUACGAGAGGACCGGAGUGGACGCAUCACUGGUGUUCGGGUUGUCAUGCCAAUGGCACUGCCCGGUAGCUAAAUGCGGAAGAGAUAAGUGCUGAAAGCAUCUAAGCACGAAACUUGCCCCGAGAUGAGUUCUCCCUGAGACUUAGAGUCUCCUGAAGGAACGUUGAAGACGACGACGUUGAUAGGCCGGGUGUGUAAGCGCAGCGAUGCGUUGAGCUAACCGGUACUAAUGAACCGUGAGGCUUAACCUUACAACGCCGAAG
rnacentral:rRNA from 1 species